UAAAUCUACUGGAUACAAAAAAAUCAUGGACUAAAUAUAGACAUUGGAUUUAUGACACAUUAUAAACCUGCCUUCCAUCUGAUGGCUCCAGGUAGCUGGGUUGACUCCCAGGCUUCUUUCCUUGCAGUGUUCUCCAAAUGGUUUUGCAUGGUAUCACCUUCUUAUCCAAUAGGGAAGAAAAAAAUCUUGGAGCCAGCUUCAGCAGUUUGUGUUUAGAUGAACCAUCUCUACUUCUGGCUCCCCAUCUCCCUCACUGAGGGCUGUAACUCCAGCUCAGACACCCUGCCUGGCUCCAUUGAACAAGCCAAUGCAGGAAGCAGGCACUAUACUCCAGUGUACGUGCCUUCCAGGGGAAGGCUGAAAAAGCAAAGGGCAGAUGCAGGAAGGUCCAAGCAUGGCAGGAGAAUAAAAACUGGUCAAGCACUUAGCAAGAGUAAAAUAAAAUGGUAUAAUGCAGCAAAAAUUGUGAAGCCUUUGUAUGGUGUUAGUUCUACAGCCGGCAUUAAAUCAAUUAAUUUUAGCAAGCUGAAGUCUUAAAAGGCAUCCUUUUAUUUUUUUUGUUUAAUAUUCUACCUGCUGGACCGAAGCAGUACUGUACUUGGAUCUUGAGAAAGAGCUUCCAAAGCUAAGAAUAUAUUAAAAAUGGGAAAUAUUAAGAUGGCUGUAGAAUACAGACUUAAUGCAAUUAAAAUACAUGAGCAUCUCCAGAUUUCAUCAACUACAUUUUGAUAUGUGGAUGGCAUCUGUCCAAAAAAAUCCAGACAGGGAUUUCCACAGGAAGGAUUGCCCACAGAAACUUUGGGGUAAGUCUUCUUGAUAUUUACCUGUUUUAGUUUUGGUGUAAAGUUAAAUCAGCCUGGUCCACAGACUGUAGUGCAUGAAGCACAGGCCUAAUCCAUAGUUUCUGAUCUCUUUUGCUUCUGAAUCCAGUGGAUUGUUCAGUAUUUCAUAAGCUGUAAUUGCCAAUACUUUACUACCUAGUAGAGAUGACCAUUGUGGUCUGCUACAAGCAAUUACAUAUGAUACCGUACACCUCUCUUCCUUAAGCAGGGGGUUUGACUAGAUGACCUCGAGGUCCCUUCCAGUUCUACUUCUGUAUGAUUUCUACCAUUCUAAUUACCCCAUUCUCUUCCUCCACCCCUGUGGCAACAGAACUUGGGAGGAGUAUUGCAAGGACACACCAGUAGGCUGUACUUGCUAAUAAAUGGUGUCAGCAAACUUUGGAAGACUAUUAGUUACAGCAGAGCUUAUUAGUUUGAAAAGCUGAGAACACAGAAAACUGGGAUGAUACAGUAAGGAACACGAGACCAUUUUUAAGGUGCACCAUUCUACACUUACUCACCAUGCUGCAUAGCCUCUGAAGAGGAAAACAUCAGGACCAACAGAAAUAAAUUCCCUUCCUUUGGCAUCCAGGUUGUUUUUGAAGAUUCAGAUUCAGCCAUCAUCUUUAAUGUACACAUAGCUGCAAGAAUUUGUUAGUUUCCUGUGCCCACAGUAGCUUAAAGAGCAUUUUGUAACAGACUAAAUAAAAGCAGUAUCUGCAUUUCUAGUCAACUAUUUCAAAGUAUUAUACAGACAGUUUCUCUUAAUGUCAGAGAGUCAGGUAUUACUCCCUCUGAAUUACAUGAAGGUGCAAAUUUCAUUCCCAUCUGAAGAGAGAAGAAUCCAAAGUCAUCAGUAAACAGAAAGGUUCCCCAAAAAAAUUUAUUUUCAUAAAUUAAACACACACACACAAAAAAUGAAAUUUUAGAUUCACAAACUACUAAACAGAAACAAAACUGCAGGGACAUGAUAGAUCAGUGUUAUAAAAGUGUACAAAUUUUCACCCAACUAUUAGCAUGACGGCAUCAGACAUCUCAUCCAGGCAGUUAUUACCAGCGCU